UACGUAGGGUGCGAGCGUUGUCCGGAAUUACUGGGCGUAAAGAGCUCGUAGGUGGUUUGUCGCGUCGUCUGUGAAAUUCCGGGGCUUAACUCCGGGCGUGCAGGCGAUACGGGCAUAACUUGAGUGCUGUAGGGGAGACUGGAAUUCCUGGUGUAGCGGUGAAAUGCGCAGAUAUCAGGAGGAACACCGAUGGCGAAGGCAGGUCUCUGGGCAGUUACUGACGCUGAGGAGCGAAAGCAUGGGUAGCGAACAGGAUUAGAUACCCUGGUAGUCAAGGGCGAAUUCGUU
rnacentral:rRNA from 1 species